AACGAACGCUGGCGGCAUGCCUAACACAUGCAAGUCGAACGAGAUCUUCGGGUCUAGUGGCGCACGGGUGCGUAACGCGUGGGAAUCUGCCCUUUGGUUCGGAAUAACAGUUGGAAACGACUGCUAAUAUCGGAUGAUGACGAAAGUCCAAAGAUUUAUCGCCAGAGGAUGAGCCCGCGUAGGAUUAGCUAGUUGGUGUGGUAAAGGCGCACCAAGGCGACGAUCCUUAGCUGGUCUGAGAGGAUGAUCAGCCACACUGGGACUGAGACACGGCCCAGGCUCCUACGGGAGGCAGCAGUGGGGAAUAUUGGACAAUGGGCGAAAGCCUGAUCCAGCAAUGCCGCGUGAGUGAUGAAGGCCUUAGGGUUGUAAAGCUCUUUUACCCGGGAUGAUAAUGACAGUACCGGGAGAAUAAGCUCCGGCUAACUCCGUGCCAGCCGCCGCAGUAA
rnacentral:rRNA from 1 species